rnacentral:rRNA from 1 species
UGGGGAAUUUGGACAAUGGGCGAAAGCCUGAUCCAGCAAUGCCGCGUGUGUGAAGAAGGCCUUCGGGUUGUAAAGCACUUUUGUCCGGAAAGAAAUCCUUGGCUCUAAUACAGUCGGGGGAUGACGGUACCGGAAGAAUAAGCACCGGCUAACUACGUGCCAGCAGCCGCGGUAAUACGUAGGGUGCAAGCGUUAAUCGGAAUUACUGGGCGUAAAGCGUGCGCAGGCGGUUUGCUAAGACCGAUGUGAAAUCCCCGGGCUCAACCUGGGAACUGCAUUGGUGACUGGCAGGCUAGAGUAUGGCAGAGGGGGGUAGAAUUCCACGUGUAGCAGUGAAAUGCGUAGAGAUGUGGAGGAAUACCGAUGGCGAAGGCAGCCCCCUGGGCAAUACUGACGCUCAUGCACGAAAGCGUGGGGAGCAAACAGGAUUAGAUACCCUGGUAGUCCACGCCCUAAACGAUGUCAACUAGUUGUUGGGGAUUCAUUCCUUAGUAACGUAGCUAACGCGUGAAGUUGACCGCCUGGGGAGUACGGUCGCAAGAUUAAAACUUAAAUGAAUUGACGGGGUCAUAGCUG